GAUCAUGGCUCAGGAUGAACGCUGGCGGCGUGCUUAACACAUGCAAGUCGAACGAAGACAUCUGAGUGCUUGCACUUGGGAUGGACUGAGUGGCGGACGGGUGAGUAACGCGUGGGUAACCUGCCUUAUACAGGGGGAUAACAGUUGGAAACGACUGCUAAUACCGCAUAAGCGCACGGUAUCGCAUGAUACAGUGUGAAAAACUCCGGUGGUAUAAGAUGGACCCGCGUCUGAUUAGCUUGUUGGUGAGGUAACGGCUUACCAAGGCGACGAUCAGUAGCCGGCUUGAGAGAGUGAACGGCCACAUUGGGACUGAGACACGGCCCAGACUCCUACGGGAGGCAGCAGUGGGGAAUAUUGCACAAUGGGGGAAACCCUGAUGCAGCGACGCCGCGUGAGUGAAGAAGUAUUUCGGUAUGUAAACCUCUGUGGACAGGGACGAUAAUGACGGUACCUGUUUAGAAAGCCACGGCUAACUACGUG
rnacentral:rRNA from 1 species